UACGUAGGGUGGCAAGCGUUGUCCGGAAUUAUUGGGCGUAAAGAGCUCGUAGGCGGUUUGUCGCGUCGGGAGUGAAACCUCGGGCUUAACUCGGGGCUUGCUUCGAUACGGGCAGACGUAGAGGUAUGGCAGGGGAGGAACGGAAUUCCUGGAUGUGAGCGGUGGGAAGUACGGCAGAUAUCAGGAAGAACACCCGUGGCGAAGGCGGCUCUCUGGAACGCAACUGACGCUGAGGCGCGAAAGCGUGGGGAGCAAACAGG
rnacentral:rRNA from 1 species